GCAGUUAGGUGGAAGCUCUAUUGCAAUGCCAAUCUCUGCAAGUCUGGGACAGUUCUGUGCCUGGAGUGGAAGCUAGGACUAGGAACCACUGUGCUAAAUCUCUGCAAUUCACUCUUUCGCUAAGGGAGCUGCUCCUGUCACUAGCCAAUCAGGGCCUCGAAGCGGACUGGUAGUCAGAAUAGGAGCGGACACUUCCGGUCCGCUAUAGUGCAGGCUCGACUGAGUGUCUGAGGGAGGCUCCCCGCGGUCUCUGUUCCGUGCUGUGACUUGCCGACCGGACCUGUGAGCAGAGCUGGGCGAGCUCGGAAUCCGCACCAUGGACGACCAGCCCAAGGACGGCACCACCCACAAUGGGCUGGACACUCCACCACCAAUCACUAAUUAAGAAAAUGCUGUACAGGCUCGCCUCUAGCUUCAUCUUCUGGAGGGAACAGGUUACAUUCAUUUAAGAAAUGGUGUGUGUAUUAAGAUGGUCUAUCCAUGAAGUCAUGCAUCAAAUAUUUCAAUGAAGAAUUGUUCUGCUUGGAAGAUGGCACAGACAUUAGUGCUACCUGCCCUGGAUAUAUCUGACUGGAGCCUGUCCUUCCUGUGAUCCUGGUUGUGUCAGAAAUCCUCCGAGUCAAGCUGUCUCUGUGAUCCUGUGAUCCUGAGAUCCUGGGUGUAUCCGAGCUCCUGGGAGUCAAGCUGCCUUUGGGAUCUUGAGAUCCUGGAUACACUGACCUAUGAGGAUGUGUAUGUGAAAUUCACUCAUGAAGAGUGGGCUUUGUUGAAUCCUUCCCAGAAGAGUCUCUACAAAGAUGUGAUGCUGCAAACCUGCAGGAACCUCAUUGCUAUAGGUAAGAAUGUUAGUUUUUCCUUCACUUGCUAGACAAGGAGACAAGUGUUUGUUGGUUAUUGGUGAUCUCAAUUAUGAAGGUAAAAGAAUGUGGUGAAUAAAUCAGGCAUGGUUCUAAGGUUCAAUGAAGCUAGUGACUUAAAUUUUGUAUAAUUUCUAAUAAUAUAGCAGACAUUUUCUGGUACUAUAUUUUAGGCUACAAAUGGAACAACCAGAAUAUUGAAGAACAUUGUCAAAGUUCUGGAAAACAUGAAAGACAGCUCAUUUUAUGAAUCUAUCUCAUCUGGACCUAGUGGUGUAUUUUGGAGACAUACAAGUGGAUCUUUCUGAGUUUAAGGCUAUCUUGUUCAACAUGGUAAGUUCCAGGAUACCAAUAGCCACGUAGAGUGAUCCUUUCUAAAAAGAACCAAAAAGGAAAAAAGUAUGCAAAUGUAGCACAUAUCACAUUAUGGAACCUUUCCUAAUAACAUUCUGUACUCAUCUUUAUUCAAUUAAACCAUUCAAUUCCAUGUCUUCACAGUGAUUAGACGCUGCAAUAUUUGAGUACUGAUUACUUGAACAACUGUUAACCUACAAAAAAAAUGUCCAUUAGAUAAGACAAUUUAAAAAUACAUAACUUUCAGAAAUUCUUAGGGGAUAGUGAUUGGACGCAUCCUACUUUAGGAGUACCCAACUAUGCAGUAACCAUAUUAUUCAAAACUCUAGAAGGUCAGAUGUCAUUGCACAGUCCUCAGCUAUUAUCUCACGGGGCAAUGAUAGCUAUCUGAAUCCAGACUAAAAGAGUCAUUGGUGUAGCAUUUGGAUUCUUUGCUGCCUUUAAACCUACUCUUUUCUCCCCCUACUAAAUUGUCUCCUACAGGUAUUAUAUAUCACAAGAGAAUAAACCUUUGGAAUAGGUAUAUUUAUACCAUAAGGACUAUGAAAUGCCAAGUGCCUUCCUUGCUUUUCUUCCUGUGUUUAUUUAUUAUCCCUAACAAUCAAUGUUUAAGAGUGCUACACAACUCUAUGGAUUCAUUUGUAGAUUACCUUAGAAGGAUAGGAAAUCAUUGUCCAGCUGUCCAGCAAUGGAAUUUUCUCAUAGAAACUGAAUUUAUGAUUCCAAAAUUUCCCAACAUUUUCCUACUCCAUGGGUAGGUACUUAUUUUAUUGAUGACUCAUCUGAUUGAUGAUAAGGAGAGAUUCAGGGUCCAAAGAGUCCUCAAUCAAUGCUUCUUCCUCAGGCCAACAGGUGGAACUGUUGUUUUGAUUCUUCUAAUACAAUUUAUGAACCUUUAAAUAACAUUUUAGGUUUUGUUUAUGUAGUUGGAUUGUUUCCAGCAGUAAAAGUUGUUUCAGUUUCAUCGUCACAUCUUGCUAUGCUUAUUCCAUAGGCAUUGCAUCUGAUUGAAACCCUCACGUAUCCUUUGUGUAUUCCUCAUACUCAUACACACUCUCACUCCCGAUUUCACUGCAGAAGGAAAUAAGCAAGACGAUGCAUUAACUUGCCCUCCCUCCACUUACUCCUCCGGAGCAGGAACUACACACUAACGCUAACAGAUUCAUGUGCCACAUCUUGCUUAGAUGAACAUGAAAAUUGUGCAGGAAUGUCCUAUUUGUACUCUCUUUGACUGUCAUGGUUGUAUAGUUAAGGUUAUUCCCAGAGUUAAAAAUACUAAUGGCAAAUGGAUAUCACUCACUUUGUUCUUGUGCCUUUGAUGCCAUACCUGCAUUUAUACAUGUUCCAAAAUCUCUUUGGACUGUACCUCUAUCCCGAGAGAAUCCUUCUGUGGUGUGCUCUUCCCUUAUACAAACUUUUGCUGUUAUGGGAGUGCCUCUUUGUAUAUAAAUAGAUGAUGUUGUAAAGAAGUUCUUUAGGAAAUGGAAUAUUAAUCUCUAUAAUUCAUUAUAAUCCUCAAGGCCAGGAUAUAAUUGAAAGAUCACAUAGAACAUUACAAACAAUGAUUAAAACAUAAAAAGUGGAAACACCAGGGGUAUUCUUGCACUUAUUUACUCUCAAUUUUAAAAAUUUGCCUCCAGGUGAUUUGUGGUUGAGAGCAAAACAAACAAACAAACAAACAACCCAUUUGUCUGCAGAGCUUUCUGAACUGCCUUUAAAUAGGCCUGUGUGGUUUGAAGAAUUUGAGACUUUGAAUCCUAGUUGGCUGAAACAAAAUUAUGAAGUGUACAUGUCUAUCAUUGCUGAGUGAUCUACUGAAUCAUUGUAUAUUCCUCUUCAGUUACUCUGGCUCCCAGCCAUCAAGGAAAAUGGUUGAGGGCAAGGAGACAGUGGAAGUCACCAGAAAGAUAGCAAAUCUGCUGUUAAAGGGUAAAAGAAGACAGUGACCAUAUCAUCAAAAAUCCAGCCUGCUCACAUCAGGUCUAGUUAAGGUCAUGUGUACCAAGAGUGAAGAAUGUGUAAUUAGCAUCCAGAACCUGUGUUAUCUGUUUUUCUGGUGAUGCUAUCUGCUCUGAUCUGUGCAUCUGCAGUGAGUGUCUCUGAAUUCAUUUUUCCUCAUCAUUUGUUGCUACAGGUUGGAGACGGAAUGGCUCCAGCUCCUGUCCUUUACUAAUGACAAUGUGUUUAUGACUGGAUCCUGGAAGCAUAAUACACUCAUUCAUUAAUCUGAA